rnacentral:lncRNA from 1 species
CGCCCCUUUGAACUUAUUUACUUUUAUGUACUACUGCAACAGUUUGUCAUCGCAACUCCUCUCAAACCACACAACAGAAUUUCACGAAACCUUUUCAGAUAAUAAGGACAUACUAUGUAGUUGUGCAUAUCGACGGUAAAUUGCGAUUCAAUUUUUUUUUCUAGGAGUUACGCCCCUUUGAACUUAUUUACUUUAAUGUACUACUGCAACAGUUUGUCAUCGCAACUCCUCUCAAACCAUAC